GAGUAAAGGUUCCAGGAUGACUGUGCUCAUACCAAAUACUAACUUCUUCAAAGAAAUGAAAGUAUAAAAACUACAUGUUGGAUUAAAAAAAUUAGCUAACUCCACCUCAUUAGCUCACAAUAGUGCCCAAAGUCCAAUUUUUAGAUUCAGACACUGAACCAAGAUAUGUAUUAUACUCAAUUAAAUGCACAUACAAAUCGCUUUUUGUAAUUCUAGAUGCAGAAAGGACCUACAAUUCAUCGGACUUUCAUCCUAAGUCACCUAAUCAUCCAAGAGUGAAGCAAAUGAAAGGCAUGAAUCAUCAAAGAAAGACAUGAAUCAUGCAAAAUAGAGACAAUUAGCGGAAUAAAGAGU
rnacentral:lncRNA from 1 species